rnacentral:lncRNA from 1 species
UCCAAUCAACUUACAAGCUCGGGGGAGAGUUUUUCGAAGUUCUGAGACCUCUAUCGGUCUCACAUUUGAAAGUUUUAGUGAUUGAGGGUUGUUUGAGAUUCAAUGAUGUCAUGGCUAGUGUCAAGGAGAGUGAGGGGUUGCCUGGAAGGGUUUUGAGUCAUUUUUGUUAAAUUUGGGAUUUAGGGUUAAACUUCAAGUGAAGAUUCGAGGGGUUCUAUGGUCAUUUGAGAGGGGAGACAUGUAGGGUUGGAAUAGAAAAGUCGGGAUGUUUCAGUCAUGUAAUUUUGGAAGGUUUUGGGAUGGGGGUCGCCGGAGGUAGGGUUUCCGGCGACCUUUGAAUGGAUAUUCGAGGCGGAUGGGUGGUGUUUGAAGGGAGCCAGUCACGGGACAAGGUAGAAGAGGUAAUUUUGGGGUCAUUUGGUUGCCG